CUUAUCAUGUGUGGCUAAUGUAAAUCUAAUGCGCUCCUGUACAUGAAGGAACGACUUCGCCCCUUUUAAGUAGCAUUUUGACGAACUUUGCCCCAUUGCGGCUUGUUUAGGCAAGUAAACACCAAGCGCAGACUACGAUCAAUUCAAGAUGGCGGCGACGAAGGAAAAUUUCCAGCGUGUCCCUCUCUGGGCGGUGGUGGUCGUUUUUGUCCUGUUUCUGCUGCAAGGGCUGGCCGUGUUCGCACCUGACACCACUCCCUGGUACGUUUUCGGACCUGUCGGCAGCUUCAUACAGGACAACAUCAAGAACGACCGCAUCCAGGAGAUGUAAGUAACGGUUCUCCCCUGAGAGGGAAUACAGCAAUCCACCCAAGGUUAGUAACGGUUCUCCCCUGAGAGGGAAUACUACAAUCCAGUCUACGUCUAUGGCGACCACCGUCUCUGUUCAGGGAUUGUUGUUAA